rnacentral:lncRNA from 1 species
GGGUCGCUGUCAGAACCAGGUGAAGCGGCACCGCGUCGGACCAGAGAGGCUCAUGGGAAACGUGCGACUGUUCCAGCGAGGGCUGGCAGGUCACUGUCAGGUCCACUUCCUCCCCCUAGUGGUGGGGGUGAGAGACGACAGCCGUACGCAGCGACUGAGAUGUGUAGAGCGCUCAGACUUUGCCAGGUGUCCUCAGACCUUGGCCAUGACGUCCCCCAGUGUCCCCGUGUCGUCCUGUGAGCUCCACAAAAACACACGUCGCUGCACGCAACCGUCAAUCAACACACACCUCAGCUGCCGUCUGUACCAGACAUGUGACCAUGCCGUGCUGAUCACAGGUACACACACACACACACACACACACACACACACACACACACACACACACACACACACACACACACAGAGACAAAGGAAAGAUUUGUUCCUCUCACUGAGGUUCUGUUGGUUCUGCAGGUGGCUGGCAGCAGCAGAUGACUUUCCAGCGCCAGGCUUUGAACCUGCAGAGGUUCUACACCAUGCUGAGGAACAACGGCUUCCUCAGAGAGAACAUCCACACCUUCUUAGCAAGCAGCGCUCACCUUCCAGGUAAGAAUCACCAAAAACGUCUCUCUGCACAAGCUCCACCUCUGCUCACACACACACACACACACACACACACACACACACACACACACACACACACACACACACACACACACACACACACACACACACACACACACACACACACACACACACACACACACACACACACACACACACACACACACACACUUUCUCCUCAGAGAACGUCGACGGAGUGUUUCCAGCCACAGAGAAAAGCAGCAUCAGGAACCACGUGUCCUACGUGUGCAAGAAGCAGCUCUGUGCAGACUCCCUGGUCCUUUACCUCAACUCCCCCACACACACCGAUGGAAGCAUGCUGCUGUGGGACAGCAACCAGGACGGCAUGGUAAGACACACA